CGAACGCUGGCGGCAGGCUUAACACAUGCAAGUCGAGCGGGCACUUCGGUGUCAGCGGCAGACGGGUGAGUAACACGUGGGAACGUACCCUUCGGUUCGGAAUAACGCUGGGAAACUAGCGCUAAUACCGGAUACGCCCUUUUGGGGAAAGGUUUACUGCCGAAGGAUCGGCCCGCGUCUGAUUAGCUAGUUGGUGGGGUAAUGGCCUACCAAGGCGACGAUCAGUAGCUGGUCUGAGAGGAUGAUCAGCCACACUGGGACUGAGACACGGCCCAGACUCCUACGGGAGGCAGCAGUGGGGAAUAUUGGACAAUGGGCGCAAGCCUGAUCCAGCCAUGCCGCGUGAGUGAUGAAGGCCUUAGGGUUGUAAAGCUCUUUUGUCCGGGACGAUAAUGACGGUACCGGAAGAAUAAGCCCCGGCUAACUUCGUG
rnacentral:rRNA from 1 species